GUCACGAUUAGAAUAAAGGAAGUUCGAUGGGUCACUUCCCGGAGGUGCUGGUUCGAGUCCAGCUCGUGACG